rnacentral:rRNA from 1 species
CCUACGGGAGGCAGCAGUGGGGCAUAUUGCACAAUGGGGGAAACCCUGAUGCAGCGACGCCGCGUGAGUGAAGAAGUAUCUCGGUACGUAAAGCUCUAUCAGCAGGGGAGAAGAAAGACGGUACCUGACUAAGAAGCGCCGGCUAACUACGUGCCAGCAGCCGCGGUAAUACGUAGGGGGCAAGCGUUAUCCGGAUUUACUGGGUGUAACGGGAACGUAGACGGCUGUGCAAGUCUGAAGUGAAAGCCCAGGGCUCAACCCUGGGACUGCUGUGGAAACUGUGGAGCUAGAGUGCUGGAGAGGUAAGUGGAAUUCCUAGUGUAGCGGUGAAAUGCGUAGAUAUUAGGAGGAACACCGGUGGCGAAGGCGGCUUACUGGACAGUAACUGACGUUGAGGCUCGAAAGCGUGGGGAGCAAACAGGAUUAGAUACCCUGGUAGUC